UAUAUUAAAGUUUAAUACAUUUAAAUUGAUAAUUAGAUUAAAAUAUUUCCUUUUCAAUAAUAAAUAUUUAACACAUAGAUUUAAAUGUAAUGAAAUAGAGUGUAUUUAAACGUGCGCUCGCCACUAGGGGCGUUAACGUGAUGUUACGUGAGUGACGUAAACGUGAGGGCAAAAAAAAAAAACGUAAACGUGAUGGCGCAAACAAUCACGAAGACGGAAGAAUAAUUCUGUUUAUUACAAAAGACUGAAGAUAUAACUACAGCUAUCCUUUAAUUUAUUUAUUUCUACGUUGAGGACGCUUUAUAAACCUACAGAGAUACCUGACCAACGAACGACCUUCACAACGGGACGGAGCUAACAUAAUGUUAACGGUUACUUGGAAAUUCAAACAGUAACGGUCAUCUGACAACUGUGCUGAGCCAAAGUUGGUGAAGAUGGAGAUGUUGUGACGACCAGGACAGUUCCUCCUAGCACACCAGACUCUGCUGUAUGUGGACGCCUGUCCACUAGCACUGGACAUUUACAACAUUUGGUGCCAGGGACCUCUUGCAGAGAAGAUUUUUCAAGGACACCCUCAGAAUUACAACAGAUUUUAAGGCUUGAAAUUAUUGUGGGUGGGAGUAUAAUGAACAUAAUAUGAUUGUUUUAUUUAUUUAUUCAUUUAUUUUUUUAAAUGGUACCCAUUUUUUAAUAAUACAUUUGUUUAAUGCACAAUAUAGGGCUAAGUUGCACCAGGUCAGGAAAAAACACAUAAGUUGCAUCUGUGUAUAAGACACAUUUUACCAUUAAUUUCAGAAAUAAAUUAAAUACUGAUAAAUAAAACAAACGUUAAGAAACUUAAAAACUAUAAACACUGUAAAGAUUUUAUUUUCGCUCACUUCAAAUCAUUUAAAUUUAAUGCUAUUCAAAACAGAACAAAAAUAAAAAAUAUUUAGGCCUAUGUAUAAAAUAAACAAAUUCUAGAGCCAUUAUUUACAAGCAGUAUUUCUUUUGUUAAAUAAAGAAAACAAACAAAAUGCACUUGCUAUCUCAGUUUCUGUGAACCUCAUGCUGAAAAUUUAGAAAACACAGUGGUACAGACAAUACCACUGUGUACAGACAGACUUGUCACACAGACAUGAGAACUAUAGAAACCUGUAAGUGCCUGCUUUUAAGUGUUUACGGUUUGCUUAGGCUUUUUGACAUUACAACCAUUAUAUAAAAGUUACUUUGGAAUAAUUCAGCACAUCUCAGAAGAUUAAAAAAUAUGACUUGUAGUCUGGAAAAUAUGGUAUAAAUUAUUUUGUGGACCCCUUUGCUUUGGUCCUGAACCCCAGAUUGAAAACCCUUGCAUUGUAGCAUAUUGUAUGUUUUUUUUUUAUUAUUAUUAUUGUGCAUGGAGAUAAUAUUCGGGCACAUGAACACUUGACUAUUGCAUGAAUAAAGAAUACCAUCUUUAAGAAUUUUAUGCUAAUUGCAGUUGAAA